GAGGUGAUUACACAAGUUGUGCUGCAGUUUGUAUAUAAUUUAUAUACCUAUUAAAGUAGAAAGUUGGAUAGACUUUGAGUAAUACCUAGUUUACAUUGCAGCUAAGGUUUUGAAAGCUUAUAUCCCUUAAGACCUAAACAUUCUGUUAGAAUAUUAGUUUUCAGUGGUGGUGUGAUCCAUAUCUCAGUGUCAGUUGCCUUACCUGCUAAGGGGGUAUCAGUCCCUCUUUCCUCUUCCCCUCCAUUUUUACCUCCAUCCUUUCUCUUCCUCAAGUCUCUUUCCUUAUCUUUGAAUCCUUAAUGUUUUUCCUCCCACAUAAGAACAUGUGUCAAUGUCCUCCUGAUUUUUGGAUCAGGCAGAAAUGAUUUGCAGAGGCCAUAUGUUAUUAACCUGUUGCAAUCUAAGAAAACCUAAAGAAAAUCCUCCCUGCCCUUUUAAAUCCUUAAAAAAUAACAAAUCAAUACAGUUGUGAUAAUUUCAUUCUCUUUAAGGAAUCAUAAGUAAAUUGGACCACUGUUCCUUUAAAUAUGGACCAGUGGAACUUUGGGGCUUCUGCCUGAAGCAUUUGUUGGUCCCCUAGGAGUGUCAGUUGGGCCUGAAUAGGAAGAAAGGCCCAGGUAGCCGCCAUUGUAUCUGUUCAUGAAACCUUUUCUGUAGUCUAGCUAUGUAUCUGCUAUGCUCUCCAGCACUACCAUCACUGUCUCAGCUCCACUUCAGAUCAUCAGGUAUCAGGUACUUACAAGGAGCACACAACCUAGAUUCCUUAAAUGGGCACUUCUCAGAAGUGUUUGUACUUCUGUGAGAAUCUAAUGCCUCUACUGACCUGACAGGAGGUAGAGUUCAGGCAGUAAUCUAGGUAAUGGGGAAUAGCUGUAAAUACAGAUGAAGCUUCAUAACUUACCUGCCACUCACCUCCUGCUGUGUGGCCCAGUUUCUAACCUCUGGUUUGAAAUAUUGAUUGUCCCAAACUGUCUAACAAUAAUUCACUAUUGUAAGUACGAGUAUCCAUUUUAUUAAACUGAUGGAAUUGUGCAUCUCCAGGAUGUCUAGAAACUACCUAGCUUUUGGUUCUGGUUGAUAGUUGAGCCAUGCUCUGCCAAAGCCUACUGGCUUGAAUUUUGAUCUUGUCUGUUGCAUUUGUUAGGCAUCAUGUCUCCUUGGGGCCAUUGCUUGACCACUCUAAGCCUCAGUUUUUUUUAACUUUAAGAUAAAGUUAGAUAUACCUAAAAGUUGUGAGGAUUAAAUAAAAUAAUGCAAAGCCAAUUUAUUGAGAAGUCUUAGUAUUUCAGAGGUAUGAAUAUAUAGUUAUUUAUUUUUUUUAAUAAUUACCACCAACUUUGGCAUUUGGAAGGUUUUCCUUUUUUGCUAUAUAAUGG
rnacentral:lncRNA from 1 species